rnacentral:rRNA from 1 species
GAUGAACGCUGGCGGCGUGCCUAAUACAUGCAAGUCGAGCGAACGGACGAGAAGCUUGCUUCUCUGAUGUUAGCGGCGGACGGGUGAGUAACACGUGGAUAACCUACCUAUAAGACUGGGAUAACUUCGGGAAACCGGAGCUAAUACCGGAUGAUAUUUUGGACCGCAUGGUUCAAAAGUGAAAGACGGUCUUGCUGUCACUUAUAGAUGGAUCCGCGCUGCAUUAGCUAGUUGGUAAGGUAACGGCUUACCAAGGCAACGAUGCAUAGCCGACCUGAGAGGGUGAUCGGCCACACUGGAACUGAGACACGGUCCAGACUCCUACGGGAGGCAGCAGUAGGGAAUCUUCCGCAAAGGGCGAAAGCCUGACGGAGCAACGCCGCGUGAGUGAUGAAGGUCUUCGGAUCGUAAAACUCUGUUAUUAGGGAAGAACAUAUGUGUAAGUAACUGUGCACAUCUUGACGGUACCUAAUCAGAAAGCCACGGCUAACUACGUG